rnacentral:misc_RNA from 1 species
GAUGAAGAACGUAGCGAAAUGCGAUAAGUAAUGUGAAUUGCAGAAUUCAGUGAAUCAUCGAAUCUUUGAACGCACAUUGCGCCCGCCAGUAUUCUGGCGGGCAUGCCUGUUCGAGCGUCAUUUCAACCCUCGAGCCCCCCCGGGGGCCUCGGUGUUGGGGGACGGCACACCAGCCGCCCCCGAAAUGCAGUGGCGACCCCGCCGCAGCCUCCCCUGCGUAGUAGCACACACCUCGCACCGGAGCGCGGAGGCGGUCACGCCGUAAAACGCCCAACUUUCUUAGAGUUGACCUCGGAUCAGGUAGGAAUACCCGCUGAACUUAAGCAUAUCAAUAAGCGGAGGA